rnacentral:rRNA from 1 species
GACGAACGCUGGCGGCGUGCUUAACACAUGCAAGUCGAACGCUGAAGCUUGGUGCUUGCACUGGGUGGAUGAGUGGCGAACGGGUGAGUAAUACGUGAGUAACCUGCCCUUGACUCUGGGAUAAGCCUGGGAAACUGGGUCUAAUACUGGAUACGACAUGUCACCGCAUGGUGGUGUGUGGAAAGGGUUUUACUGGUUUUGGAUGAGCUCACGGCCUAUCAGCUUGUUGGUGGGGUAAUGGCUCACCAAGGCGACGACGGGUAGCCGGCCGGGGAGGGUGACGGACCAAAGGGGAAAUAGGACCCGCCCCAUUGUCCUGAGGGAGGAGGGGGGGGGGAAGUUUCCAAAAGGGGGAGAAGCGAGUGACGGAGGGCCCGGCGGGGAGUAUGGGGCCUUGGGGUGAUAAACUCUUUGCGGGAAAGGAGGGGAAGAAAAGCCGUGGAGUACUGAAAAGCGGCCGCCUAUUACCCC